rnacentral:lncRNA from 1 species
CCAGAAUAAGAUAAGAAUUACAAGGGAAAAUAUAAGUUAAGCAACACAGUGUAAUUACAAAUCCAACUGAAAGUCCAUUCCAUAUUUCGCAGCUCAAAAGCACACUUUACAAACACUCUUCCCAAACAGCACUGUCAAAGACAAACUAUCGAACAACACCUCCAACUCCUGCAUCUUAACCACCACCAACGAAGGAGACAUGCCAAAAAACAAAUUGCACAAACCAAAUAGUGAUAUGCAAAAAUCGAAGACAAGAGUCGGGAUGCCGAAAACCAGAUAUGCAAAUCCAAGCAGUGAAUCCAAUAAAAAAUCGCAAAUGAGCAAAUCUCCAGCAACUCAAUCUCCAAAACAAUUUGAAUCACCCAAAAACAUCACCACACGAAGAGAGGGAGGCGACAGAGUUCAGUCUCGAUCUAAAAGUAAAAUGUUCAAAAACAUUCCAAACAAUGAAAAUAAACAGAGGAUGAAUUUCAGAGAAUCCAAGCCCCGUAAAAAUAAAAACAAAACCACGCACAUCAAAAUAAAAUAAAACAAAAGGACCAGAUGGGAAGAGAAGGAAACCUACGCCUCUGCCCCGCCAUUCUGUAAAAUCGUAUCGCAAUGGCUUUCUUUUUCUUUUUCAUUCUUCAUCUUAAAUUUACUUAAAACGUCAG